rnacentral:lncRNA from 12 species
UAUCUUUGCUACAAAAAGAAACAGUGCUCCACCCCAUCUGGUGCUGCACAGCUUCCUGUGCUGACAGGACAGCAGCAGCAGGAGCAGAUGCUGGAGAUGGAAGAGCUUCACGGGAGAAAUGAAUCCACCAAGGAAACGGCUGAGGAAAACUC